rnacentral:rRNA from 1 species
CACGUAGGGUGCGAGCGUUGUCCGGAAUUAUUGGGCGUAAAGAGCUCGUAGGCGGUUUGUUGCGUCGGCUGUGAAAACCUGAGGCUCAACCUCAGGCCUGCAGUCGAUACGAGCAGACUAGAGUGUUGCAGGGGAGACUGGGAUUCCUGGUGUAGCGGUGAAAUGCGCAGAUAUCAGGAGGAACACCGGUGGCGAAGGCGGGUCUCUGGGCAACAACUGACGCUGAGGAGCGAAAGCGUGGGGAGCGAACAGG